GGGAUUCCACCGCACGCUGCCCGGCGUCCAUUCCUACCGGGCGCGUAACGGCAGCGUAGCGCUGCCUUGCGAGCCAGCCGUAUUCACGCAAGAUCACGCGAUAAUCCUAAACAUAAUGUACUCACCUUCCACUCCCAAAACUAUUGCAUUUAAAUGCCACGCUUUGUCCUUUCUGACAUUUUCCUUAUAAAAAGGAUGAUUUGGUACAUAAAUGACUUCAUGUUGCUGAACUACGACAAUGAGUCUCGUCGUCCAUGUUGCCGACCCUCUGAGACCCUUUGAUUGACUGCUGACCUGGUGCCACCGGUCAUGACGUAAUACUGUUGAUGUGAAGUUACAUGAGCUGAGUAUUGUGUUUUAUUUUGAAAAUUGACCGGAUGCUCUCUUGCUUUUACUUUUCACUUCCUGCCCGGCUCGACCUGCUCUGUCGAAAUUGACGCGGUUUAGCAGCGGCUCGCGGCAAAAAUAGAAUUAGGACGGAAAGAUAGCGCCGCGGCGCAGGACGCCGCUCCUGGGACGCUGCUGAAACGUUCCGCGGCGUGCCCGGUGGAAAUGGUCUCAUUGAUUAGAGUGGAAGCGAUCAGCAGCGGUGACCGCGGCGUAGCCGUCCCGCGGCACGUACGCCUCCGGUGGAAUCAGGCCUUAAGGAAACCUUCAUUGGGGCUUCAAGGUGUAAAGAGGAGAAUGUUUCAAAGUGUUCCAUGGUACUCUGAUGAGGACCGUUGUUGUGUUCCACUGGCUGAGAGGAAGAACCCUCCAUCUUCCUCUUGGGCUUUCUCCUCUGAGAAUCCUGGCGCCAUCUUGAAGAAUAUUCCAGCUCAUGUAACUGAUGUCACGACCGAUUCUCAAACACUUGGUUUCUCCUGAGGGGCGUGUCUAAAGAACUGAAGACUUCAGACAGCACUGUAUCCCAGCAUGUAUCUCUGCUCACUCAGACCACACCCCCAUGGUAGGAUGCAACACUCUCGUGAUGGAGAUGUAGAGUUUUAUAAGUAACGAGGGAGCAGACAAAGGUGAUUAGAACAAAAUGGAAUGUCAAAUCUGUAAAUCUUUAAGCCAUGAAGAUGGUUGGAUAGUUCAGGAAUUGGGCUUCUUUUUAUUAUGGGCAGUCCUUUUUCUCAGAUGCCCACUUCUCACUGGAGCUGUACAUGUGUUGGCUGGUUGGCAUGAUUUGCUGUUGUUGAUGAGGCGGUCAGGGUGACGUUGCAGGGCUAUGGUCGGCUCUCUGUGAGCUCAACGUUUAGAUUUGCUCUGUAUGGUUUGUACCCUGAAUAAUCUAGAUAAUUGUAAAAUGUAGACACGGUUUUGUAUUGAAUGAUUCAAGGAUUUUAGGUUUAAAGUUGUUGUGGGACGUACAUGGUAGUUUGGUUCUUCGUACGGUUUUGAGUGAUAUAACUUGUACACACUGGGUGCAUAAUAAUGUAAAUGUACACUGAAUAGUAGUAAUGACCAACAGCAACAAACAGAUCUCCUCAAGGUAAGUCUGUUGGCUGUGUUUUAAUGAAGACCAUCGCUGGACUUCAGGAUCUUCCUCCGUUCAGCUCAAGGUGAGGCGCUGGUUCUGUUUUUCUUUGGUUGGUUCCGGCCGGAAUGUUCGGAUUCCAGUCGGACGGUUUGUGCUUCCCGCCGUGGAAGAUUUUGAGUGCGGUCACUUGUUUUAGUCCCAAUGGUUAGCAUAGAACGUUGUAGUCUUGACAACCAUAAGAAACCACCUGGCAGUUAGUUGGACGGGAGUCCCCUGAGGGGAUCUGGCGGAACGUUCUGGACUUCUUUUUGGCGUAAACUCGAGCCGUUGCCAACGGAAACUAUUUUUCAGUCGGUUUCCAUUGGGAAUUGUUGCCCCUAUCUUAAACAACUUAUGGUUGAUAUUAAAUACAUACUGACACGUACGUCGUACAAUAUGUUGAUCAUUUCCGAUGGUUGCGCGGCCGUACUUUUAACCACGAUGACGUGACGGGAAUCUCGUUGCGUACAAAACGGCGUUCUACUUGCGGCCCCAAUUUUGACAUCAGUGAAGGCUGAAAAUCAUUUCAAGUUGGAUGAUAAUUUGACAUUUCUUCAACGGAACCCAGCACCUGAAUAUGGCUGAGUAUAUUUGAUUUAAUAUCGAUGGCUUAGUGUUCUUUGUUACUUCAGCUUUUGUAUGUUCUAAAUAUCUGCUGUCAUUAAUUGCCACAGAAGUUAAACCCUACCCAAUGGAAUGACGUUAAACAACGACUUUGGUGCAGAGUAACCAACUGGAUAAUAUCAAAGCUAAAAUAAUGUCCGUCUUUCCCACAUGUUACAGUAGAAGAUACUCUAGAACUGUACAAGGUUAAAAAGGUAACAUGUAGUUUGUCUCAAGGUGUCUGCCUCCUCACCCAGAGCAAGACCUCCACCUCCUCACCCAGAGCCAGACCUCCACCUCCUCACCCAGAGCCAGACCUCCACCUACUGUCAGAAGUCCACCAGAACAGGUCAGUGCUCUGGUGUGUGAGUAGAGUCUUCUCAGCUGAAAUGCAAGGCUGAGAGGCUGGGGACCGGAGGCUUGUGGUGCCAGGGUGGACCGGGGACUGAGGCUGGAGAUCAGGGGCCUGCAGCACCGGACCAGAGGAUCAGGAAUCCAUGGCUGAAGGAGCUGAUGGAGGAGCCGAGCUGAUGGAGGAGCCGAGCUGGAGGAGCCAUACUGAUGGAGCUGAUGGAGGAGUCGUGCUGAAGGCCCUGUCUGGUGGAGGAGCUGGUGGAGGCCCUGCCUGGUGAAGGACGUCUGUCGUGGGACCAGGACUCUGUCUGAGGAGAGCUGCUGGAGGAGCUGAGACGCUGGAGGACGACGAGGAAUCGAUCAACAAGGAUUCCUCAACGUGUUUCUGGAGCGAAGGCGAGCUGGUAGGGGAGCCGUGAAUCUGGAGGAUGACCAUCACUCUACCAACAAGGAUUACGUUAGGGCCAGACUCGCGCUGUUUGUUCCAGACCAGGACUCUGGCUGAGGAUACCUGAUGGAGGAGCCAAGACUCUGGAGGACGACAUCACUCUACCAACAAGGAUCCUCGUCUAUCAUGGAUAUUUAACUGCAGUUCUGUGAGUAUUCCAACUUAACCAUGAAGCUGAACUGCAAACUGUAAGUCAUAAGUUUCUCAUUACUCUUGGGCACAUUGAUGUAUUUUGGCUUCCUGGUGAGUUAGCCCGUUACCUGAAGGUUGAUCUGAGUAGUAAGGAUGUUUUAUUGGUUCAUGGGUUACUUAGGUGUUUGGUUUAUGUUGGUUUUAAUGAUUUGUUAAAAUGGUUACAGGCUCCAAGUGAUUGGUGUAAGCUGGAGUAAUUGUUUGGGCUCUGAUAUCAUCAGUCGUCUUUUCAGCUACUCUCCUGAGCUCGGCAUCUUCAUCACAUGAGUGUUGCUUUACUGAUGAGGGUGUUGUCUGAGUGAGCAGAGGUGCAUACUGGGACACAGAGCUGUCUGAAGUCUACAGGUCUGCCAGACCCGCCCCCUCAGGGGAAACCAAGUGUUUGAGAAACCGUCGAGACGUCAGUUACAUGGACUGGAAUGUUCUUUAAAAUGGACUCAGGGAUUCAGAAGGAGAAACACCAGGGGGAGAUGAGGGGGCUCCUCAUCUCAACGACUAAAACACAAUUUCAGUCUGACACAGAAGCUAUGGAACACAUUCAACAGUCCCCUCCAGGCAUCAUGACUCCUCAGGAACGGUUUCAUUUCCAUGAAGGUCUUUUUUGGGGCCAUCCCAAGGUGGAUCCUGCUCCUCAAGAACCACCCCCCUCCACUGGGUGGUCUUCUGAACAGACGUCCUCCUUCCUGUCCUCAGGCUGACUAAAGCUGCACCGUUUGCAUCUGUGAAGGCCCCUCAUUCAGGAAACCACUGGACUCCAAAGACAUGACUUCAGAGACGUUGAAUCAACCUGGGACACACUUUGGAGACGACAAGCAUAAUUCAUUACCAAUGUGGGACGCCACUGAAGAAUGUUGUACAUAAGUAAACGUCUCUGGAGACAUUGGUUGUUCUGUUCUGGGUGGCCUGGCAGGAGAGCUGGGGGGGGGAUGAUGGAAUAUUAUUUGGCAUGAGGUUUUAACCCUGCAUGAUUGUUUGGCCUUUUAUGGCUCAGUAGUGUGUGUGUUUGGGUUUGACAUGAGAUGGAUGAUAUUUGAGCAUCGCUAGGGCUAUACUGUGUGUGGGUGUCUCCCACUCACACCUGGCAUGGGGUUCUACGUGCCUGUCCUGGGUUCUAUGUGUGUGUGUGUCCGGCUUGCUUUGACAGUGAUAAUGUUCACACGGAGUCUGUGUGAUUGGCUUGGGAUAUUGGAAUGGUCAAAUAAAUCAUACCUGAUGGACGGCCACACGUUUACUUGGGGGGGGCCUCCAGUAGACCUGAAGAGCUCUGAGCGACGCUCCGGAGCGAUAUCCAACACACUGGGCAGGAAGGAGAGUAUCCAAAUCAAGUGUCAAAGGAUGCAAGCGGCGUGUUCAGAUCAGUGACUUCAAACUAGGACUACACCAAUCAGGAUCAAAGGAGGAUGGACACCUAAAGGCAUUCCACAAGGAGUCUGACGUUGGAAAGGGACCUAAAUGGAUAUUCAAGAUGACCUUCAGACCUGUAAUGAGACGGCUCUUCCUACCUGGCUGGAUUGAUGGAGAGCCCUAUGGAUCUUGUCUUGCUCUCAGUUGCACGGCUUCUCAGGCUGAACUGUGUUUCUUUCGGACAGGACUAGCUGAACGAUUGGUUCCCUUAAAUCAGAACCAAUCCGGGAACUCCAGCUAGUGUGCUCUUCGAGCUGAAGUUGUGCUCUUCAGCUGAGGAGGUAAGGAAACCUUCACUGGGGCUUCAAGGUGUAAAGAGGAGAAUGUUUCAAAGUGUUCCAUGGUACUCUGAUGAGGACCGUUGUUGUGUUCCACUGGCUGAGAGGAAGAACCCUCACAUCAUCCUCUUGGCCUUUCUCCUGAGAAUACUGGCGCCAUCUUGAAGGAUAUUCCAGCUCAUGUAACUGAUGUCACGACAGAUUCUCAAGCACUUGGUUUCUCCUGAGGGGCGUGUCUAUAGAACUGAAGACUUCAGACAGCACUGUAUCCCAGCAUGUAUCUCUGCUCACUCAGACCACACCCCCAUGAGUAGGAUGCAACACUCUCGUGAUGGAGAUGUAGAGUUUUACAAGUAACGAGGGAGCAGACAAAGGUGAUUAGAACACAAUGGAAUGUGAAGUCUGUAAAUCUUUAAGCCAUGAAGAUGGUUGGAUACUUCAGGAAUUUAGCUUUUUAUUAUGGGCAGUCCUUUCACUCAGAUGCCCACUUCUCAUUGGAGCUGUACAUGUGUUGGCUGGCUGGCAUGAUUUGCUGUUGUUGAUGAGGCGGUCAGGGUGAAGUUGCAGGGCUAUGGUCGGCUCUCUGUGAGCUCAACAUUUAGAUUUGCUCUGUAGGGUUUGUACCCUGAAUAAUCUAGAUAAUUGUAAAAUGUAGACUCGGUUUUGUAUUGAAUGAUUCCAGGAUUUUAGGUUUAAAGUUGUUGUGGGACGUACAUGGUAGUUUGGUUCUUCGUACGGUUUUGAGUGAUGUAACUUGUACACACUGGGUGCAUAAUAAUGUAAAGGUACACUGAAUAGUAGUAAUGACCAACAGCAACAAACAGAUCUCCUCAAGGCAAGUCUGUUGGCUGUGUUUUAAUGAAGACCAUCGCUGGACUUCAGGAUCUUCCUCCGUUCAGCUCAAGAGCAAGACCUCCACCUCCUCACCCAGAGCCAGACCUCCACCUACUGUCAGAAGUCCUCCAGAACAGACCAGGAGUCCAUGUCUGGAGGAGCCUUGCUGAAGGAGCUGAUGGAGAUGCCGUGCUGAAGGAGCUGAUGGAGGAGCCGUGCUGAAGGAGCUGAUGGAGGAGUCGUGCUGAAGGCCCUGCCUGGUGGAGGAGCUGGUGGAGGCCCUGCCUGGUGAAGGACGUCUGUCGUGGGGUAGAUGGAGCUUGACUCUGAAGUGAUCAUCACACUGACUGCCACUUCUCGUAGAACACUGCUAUCACAAACUACCGGCGUUUGUACCAUAUAUACCAGACGACUACAUCUGUUUUACCACAUGUUGAAUCAAGACUUCCGCUGUUUGUUCCAGACCAGGGGCCUCAUGUACUAAGGUUGCGUACGCACAAAAACGUGGCGUACGUCCUUUUCCACGCUCAAGUUCAGAUGUACAAAACGUGAAAUUACCGUAAAAAUGUGCGGUCCCCACGCCAGCUCCAGAGCUGUCGUACGCACGUUUCUACAGCUAUUGUUCCUUUGGCGACACUUAGAGGUGACGCUGGGAAACUGGGAAAAAAUGUGAAAACAAUGACUCAGAGUGAUUUGCACAUCAAAGACACACUAAUGAACAAUUAACACACCUUGCAAUUAUAUGGGUGGCUAUAAAAGCAUGCGCAAUGGAUGAAGAAAAUUGUUUUAAAAAUGGCUGCGUUAGCGUUGUUAAAGGACAUCGCAAAUGGUCAAAUCCGAAUCCGUGCCCUCUCCUUGCUUGUCUAUUCAAAAAUAAAAAAUUUAAGUUAAUAAACACGAGUCAAAGUCUUUAAUAUCCUGGCAUCUUUACGCGCGACUUAUGUGUAUUGCAAGCAGCCAAUUGUAUGACCAGUAUAAUUACAGCAUUUAUGACUUCAGCAUAUUUACCUUGGGGAUGAUCGGCGUCCCCUUCAUGGGCUCCCACCACUCCGGUGAGAGCUGUGUCACCGAUCAAAGCGGCCACUCUCAAAUCGAAGGGGGAGAGUUCCCCCACUCCCGUCCCCC
ensembl:lncRNA